AAUUUUCAACUAAUUUUUAUUUAUUCUUUUCUUCGAAAGAAAUUCAAAAUUCAAAAAUUUCUCAUGAAAUCACAGACGGAAGGUCACAGACACACAAAUGGGAACACUAUUACCAAAACGUCUAUUGAAAUGUGCAUAGCUAACUUGGCUACGUGCAGUUUCUAGCCAGGGAUGUGGUACAAUGCUUGCUCUGUCUACAGGCUACAGUCACGGUAAGCAUUUGGUCAUGUUUCCCGAUGGAGUGACGGUCUGGUUUUUGUUUUUGCACUGUUGAGACAUUUCAUUGGCUCUGCGACUGACCAAAAUAAACGGGGAGCCUGUGGAUAACGAGUGACCUCCCGUUCGCCCUCAGACCCAUCAUUGCUGGCCCGUGUUUUCCGUUGGGUGCAGUAAUGACACCCGUUUGUAGUCCUGCUCGUAUAUCAACACAGUUCCUGCCCUACCCACAGUCCCUUUCUGUCAGGGGACUGUGUCAGUAACGGUGGCAUCUACCUACAGUGCUUUCUUUUUUAGGAAAUAUAUUCGGCAGGAUUUUUUCUCCCCCAUUUGACUGGCCAGUCACUCUCCCUUUACAUUGUAAGACACUGUGGUUUCCAGGCAAUCCAUGUAAUUACCGUUUCUCGUGUUAUAUGUUCAGUUAAUUGUGCUGCUGAUUAGGGUUCCGUUGAGCCCGCUUGGUCUUGUGUUCACCUGAAGUGUAAAACGAGUCUCAGCCCCCUGAUGUCAGUGGACGACGUCGUGGCAAUGCUAAUUAGCCGCUAGCGCGGAAGGCAGUGUACCGUGCCGAGGUGGUCGCCUCCGUCAACCAUAGAGAAAACCCCGCUCGAAAUUUACAUUUGACAUUCGCAGGACUUUGGCGGCCGACUUAUCCGCGGCGACUUACGCGGCUUACAGUCCUUAGCGCCCAAUCCUGUUUGUACAGCGGGAUAUUUACUGAAGCAGUACCUGAGCGCCGUGCUACGCCGCCGCCUCUCUUAAGCCUGCGGUAGGGGCACACUCGAGCAGUUUGUGCAUAAAAAAAGGUGAGGCCGGUGAAACGUUCAAUUAAAUUAGCUGGUACAGGAGCUCUUCAAACCCGGAGCGUUGAUUUCCACAGCACGGAAUUCGGCCUGGGAACGCCCAGUCAAGUUUCCGAUACAUUCCACGUCUCUGUACGUAAUGAGACUCAAUAUCUCUUUUUUUUUUUCUUAAAUCCACUUAAUUUAUUUUUUAUUUUCUUAACACACACCUCGCUCAGCAGAGAUGGGAAGUGCUGAGGAAAGAAAACACUGGAGGACUAUACACAAGACCAAAAAAAAAAAAAAAAAAAUCUAUGCGUGUACAGAUGGUUAAGUGGCACUUUACAUUUGCGCAAUGAAAAGUUUUAUGUGUUUUUCUGGCUGUUUGUUUUAACAGCCCAGCAGUUUAAAAUGUGAAUGAAUUUAUUGUUCAGCACUAAUUUCAGACCUGGAGGGUUUCAGUCGAACCGGCUGUACAAAUGUUAGAACAACACCGGCGAAAUAGACAAAUAACUCCGCCUUAUUUUUUAAAACGCAACUUACCUUUACGAUGUGAAUAAUUAAAAGGGCUGUUCAUAAAUAUAUUAACGAGUCUGCGAGUCUCUUAACCUCGAGGCAUGUGGUUUCGUGGACCCGGUCAAUUACUAACCCAUGUAAAUUACGCGCUUAUUAAUUAGCUGCAUCAAGUUCAGGGACAUAAGUUGGCGUAAAUGCAGCUUUUUAUUCGCAUUGUAUUCUAAGUUCGAGGAAAUGAGUCAAACCAGGUAAACGAA